rnacentral:rRNA from 1 species
UACGUAUGGUGCAAGCGUCAUCCGGAAUGACUGGGUGUAAAGGGAGCCUAGACGGUUGUUCAAGUCUGAUGUGAAAGCCCUCGGCUUAACUGGGGGAGUGCAUUGGAAACUGAAGGACUAGAGUAUCGGAGAGGCAAGUGGAAUUCCUAGUGUAGCGGUGAAAUGCGUAGAUAUUAGGAGGAACACCAGUGGCGAAGGCGGCUUGCUGGACGAAAACUGACGUUGAGGCUCGAAAGCGUGGGGAGCAAACAGG